UACGAAGGGGGCUAGCGUUGCUCGGAAUCACUGGGCGUAAAGCGCACGUAGGCGGACUCUUAAGUCAGGGGUGAAAUCCUGGAGCUCAACUCCAGAACUGCCUUUGAUACUGAGAAGCUUGAGUCCGGGAGAGGUGAGUGGAACUGCGAGUGUAGAGGUGAAAUUCGUAGAUAUUCGCAAGAACACCAGCGGCGAAGGCGGCUCACUGGCCCGGUACUGACGCUGAGGUGCGAAAGCGUGGGGAGCAAACAGG
rnacentral:rRNA from 1 species